rnacentral:rRNA from 1 species
CCUACGGGCGGCAGCAGUCGAGAAUCAUUCACAAUGGGGGAAACCCUGAUGGUGCGACGCCGCGUGGGGGAAUGAAGGUCUUCGGAUUGUAAACCCCUGUCAUGUGGGAGCAAAUUAAAAAGAUAGUACCACAAGGGGAAGAGACGACUAACUCUGUGCCAGCAGCCGCGGUAAUACAGAGGUCUCAAGCGUUGUUCGGAAUCACUGGGCGUAAAGCGUGCGUAGGCUGUUUCGUAAGUCGUGUGUGAAAGGCGCGGGCUCAACCCGCGGACGGCACAUGAUACUGCGAGACUAGAGUAAGGGAGGGGGAAGCGGAAUUCUCGGUGUAGCAGUGAAAUGCGUAGAUAUCGAGAGGAACACUCGUGGCGAAGGCGGGUUCCUGGACAUUAACUGACGCUGAGGCACGAAGGCCAGGGGAGCGAAAGGGAUUAGAUACCCGGGUAGUC